ensembl:lncRNA
AUGUCACUGGGGUUAAAUCCACACGGAGGGCUUGCCCUCUCCCGAUUUGCUGCUGCUGCUGUUGCUGCUGCUGCCUCCCCCGCUGCCGCCUCCCUUGCCGUGCUUGAACUUAUGCUUGCGCUCCUUCUGCGGCAGGGCCUGUGGCUGAGGUUGGGCCUGGAUGAUGUUGCUCUGGGGCUUGUCGUCCCGGUUGUCCCCGAGCUGCUCCUCCGCCCGGUGCUGCUGACUGUACGCCUGGAUGGCCGCCUCCAGCUGCUCGUGAGCCUGCUGGAUCAUGUCUUUGUUCAGGGCCACGCGGGCCUCCCCUCCGGUGGGGAAGUUGUCCUCGUUGCUGCCAAAUUGCUGCUGCUCCUCCUGGGCAAUGUUGGCCCGGUUCUGCUUGCACGCCAUUUUGGCGUUGCUCAGGUCCGUGUAGGGCAUCUGCUCCGGUUUGACCACAAUGUUGUAGCCGGGUGGAGCCGACGGCGUGUUCCACGAGAAGGGGUAACCCACGUAGUCCGCGGCCCCGUCGCCGCCCACCCCUCCCUCGGAGCCCGCCUCGGGCCCCGGCACCCCCGCGGAGCCCUCCACACCGCCACUGGGGCCCAGCAGACCCAGCUGGUACUGGUCCUCCUGAGCUGGGCAGCGCCGCUGCCGCAGAAUGUCGCAGAUGGAGCCGAUGCCGAGGUGGAGCAUCUCCCAGACGUCGAGCGUGAGGCAGAGGACGGUGACGCCGUACAUGAUGCGCAGGAAGAUGGUCUUCUCCGUGGGCCGCGACACAAAGCAGUCGACGCUGUGAGGACACGGCUUCCCCGAGCACACGAACACCGGCGUCACGCGGAACCCGUACAGCAGGUACUGGCCCGCGAGGAAGCCCGCUUCGAGCACCGUGCGCGUCACCAGCUGCAGGACGUAGACCCGCAUCAGGCCCUCGUCCUGGAUGCGCUUGCGCCCGUCAUGCCGGAUUUUGGGCCUGGGCGUGGGCUGCAGCGGAUCCCUCGGCCGUUUCGAGGGCUCGAUCUCCGGCACCUCGUAGAUCAUGGGGUCGUCCUCCUGGUCCUCCUCGGCCUCCUCGAUGCCCCGGUGCUGCCGCGCCCCGAAGCAGAUUUUCCUGGGCUUCCUGUGCGUGUAGCCCCCUCCUCCCGUGCGGACCGCCGCGGACCCGGCGCCUCCUUUGGCCUCGUCCAAUCGUGCAAUCUUGUUGACGGCGUAGCCCAUGUACAUGAGAGACGGCAUCGCCACCAGGAUGAUCUGGAAGACCCAGAAACGCACGUGCGACAGCGGGGCGAAGGCGUCGUAGCAGACGUUCUCGCAGCCCGGCUGGCCCGAGUUGCAGACAAACUUGCUCUGCUCGUCGUAGUAGAUGGACUCGCCCCCGACCGCGGUGAGCACGAUGCGGAAGACGAUGAGCACGGUGAGCCACAGCUUCCCCACGAAGGUGGAGUGGUUGUGGAUCUCCUCCAGCAGCCGCGUGAGGAAGCUCCAGCUCAUGGUGUCGCUGGACAGUGGGGCAGACAGUGUCCCUCUCUCACCUGUUCACAGACUCUGGAGGGGGCAGAGAGGGAGAAAAAAAAGGAAGAGAGUGUGAGCUCACAAUGA